rnacentral:rRNA from 1 species
AGAGUUUGAUCCUGGCUCAGAUUGAACGCUGGCGGCAGGCCUAACACAUGCAAGUCGAACGGUAACAGGAAACAGCUUGCUGUUUCGCUGACGAGUGGCGGACGGGUGAGUAAUGUCUGGGAAACUGCCUGAUGGAGGGGGAUAACUACUGGAAACGGUAGCUAAUACCGCAUAACGUCGCAAGACCAAAGAGGGGGACCUUCGGGCCUCUUGCCAUCAGAUGUGCCCAGAUGGGAUUAGCUAGUAGGUGGGGUAACGGCUCACCUAGGCGACGAUCCCUAGCUGGUCUGAGAGGAUGACCAGCCACACUGGAACUGAGACACGGUCCAGACUCCUACGGGAGGCAGCAGUGGGGAAUAUUGCACAAUGGGCGCAAGCCUGAUGCAGCCAUGCCGCGUGUAUGAAGAAGGCCUUCGGGUUGUAAAGUACUUUCAGCGGGGAGGAAGGGAGUAAAGUUAAUACCUUUGCUCAUUGACGUUACCCGCAGAAGAAGCACCGGCUAACUCCGUGCCAGCAGCCGCGGUAAUACGGAGGGUGCAAGCGUUAAUCGGAAUUACUGGGCGUAAAGCGCACGCAGGCGGUUUGUUAAGUCAGAUGUGAAAUCCCCGGGCUCAACCUGGGAACUGCAUCUGAUACUGGCAAGCUUGAGUCUCGUAGAGGGGGGUAGAAUUCCAGGUGUAGCGGUGAAAUGCGUAGAGAUCUGGAGGAAUACCGGUGGCGAAGGCGGCCCCCUGGACGAAGACUGACGCUCAGGUGCGAAAGCGUGGGAGCAAACAGGAUUAGAUACCCUGGUAGUCCACGCCGUAACGAUGUCGACUUGGAGGUUGUGCCCUUGAGCGUGGCUUCCGGAGCUAACG